rnacentral:rRNA from 1 species
UAUGCGUUGUUGGGUAGGGGAGCGUUCUGUAAGCCUGUGAAGGUGGCCUGUGAGGGUUGCUGGAGGUAUCAGAAGUGCGAAUGCUGACAUAAGUAACGAUAAAGCGGGUGAAAAGCCCGCUCGCCGGAAGACCAAGGGUUCCUGUCCAACGUUAAUCGGGGCAGGGUGAGUCGACCCCUAAGGCGAGGCCGAAAGGCGUAGUCGAUGGGAAACGGGUUAAUAUUCCCGUACUUGGUGUUACUGCGAAGGGGGGACGGAGAAGGCUAUGUUGGCCGGGCGACGGUUGUCCCGGUUUAAGCGUGUAGGUGUGUGUUCCAGGUAAAUCCGGUUCACUUUAACACUGAGGCGUGAUGACGAGGCACUACGGUGCUGAAGCAACAAAUGCCCUGCUUCCAGGAAAAGCCUCUAAGCAUCAGGUAACAUCAAAUCGUACCCCAAACCGACACAGGUGGUCAGGUAGAGAAUACCAAGGCGCUUGAGAGAACUCGGGUGAAGGAACUAGGCAAAAUGGUGCCGUAACUUCGGGAGAAGGCACGCUGACACGUAGGUGAAGUGAUUUACUCAUGGAGCUGAAGUCAGUCGAAGAUACCAGCUGGCUGCAACUGUUUAUUAAAAACACAGCACUGUGCAAACACGAAAGUGGACGUAUACGGUGUGACGCCUGCCCGGUGCCGGAAGGUUAAUUGAUGGGGUCAGCGCAAGCGAAGCUCCUGAUCGAAGCCCCGGUAAACGGCGGCCGUAACUAUAACGGUCCUAAGGUAGCGAAAUUCCUUGUCGGGUAAGUUCCGACCUGCACGAAUGGCGUAAUGAUGGCCAGGCUGUCUCCACCCGAGACUCAGUGAAAUUGAACUCGCUGUGAAGAUGCAGUGUACCCGCGGCAAGACGGAAAGACCCCGUGAACCUUUACUAUAGCUUGACACUGAACAUUGAGCCUUGAUGUGUAGGAUAGGUGGGAGGCUUUGAAGCGUGGACGCCAGUCUGCGUGGAGCCGACCUUGAAAUACCACCCUUUAAUGUUUGAUGUUCUAACGUGGACCCGUGAUCCGGGUUGCGGACAGUGUCUGGUGGGUAGUUUGACUGGGGCGGUCUCCUCCUAAAGAGUAACGGAGGAGCACGAAGGUUGGCUAAUCCUGGUCGGACAUCAGGAGGUUAGUGCAAUGGCAUAAGCCAGCUUGACUGCGAGCGUGACGGCGCGAGCAGGUGCGAAAGCAGGUCAUAGUGAUCCGGUGGUUCUGAAUGGAAGGGCCAUCGCUCAACGGAUAAAAGGUACUCCGGGGAUAACAGGCUGAUACCGCCCAAGAGUUCAUAUCGACGGCGGUGUUUGGCACCUCGAUGUCGGCUCAUCACAUCCUGGGGCUGAAGUAGGUCCCAAGGGUAUGGCUGUUCGCCAUUUAAAGUGGUACGCGAGCUGGGUUUAGAACGUCGUGAGACAGUUCGGUCCCUAUCUGCCGUGGGCGCUGGAGAACUGAGGGGGGCUGCUCCUAGUACGAGAGGACCGGAGUGGACGCAUCACUGGUGUUCGGGUUGUCAUGCCAAUGGCACUGCCCGGUAGCUAAAUGCGGAAGAGAUAAGUGCUGAAAGCAUCUAAGCACGAAACUUGCCCCGAG